UUCUGAAUGUUAGAAAAUUUGGUUAUUCAACGAGAUUAACCUAGAAAUUUUCUCAUUCACAAACUUCCCACGGUGAUGCUGAUGUUUGGAGGAAAAAAAGAGAGAAAAUUUUGAAAAGUGACCAGUGCAGCAGCUUAAUUGGUGGAGUGGAAGACUUGUACUUGUUUCCAAUAAUAAUAUGAGAAAUUGCUUGAAUCAUACAUAAAGCGAUAUAUAGGGAAUCUUAUCAUAUCUUUUUUUUUUGUUUUUUUUCUAGAAAUGAUUAAUGUUCUACCUAAUCUCAUUAACAAAUAACAAGUCAAGUUUUUUUCUUAAUUAAGAAGAUUCAAAUGAGCAAAUUGACUGCGACUCGUCCGAGUUUAGUACGCUUUUACUAUAUUUCAUAUUCCGAAAAAACUCCUCCGUAUCUUUGAGUGGCGCAUUUGGGGGACCAAGUCAAAUGAUUUCGGAAACAUAUAACAGUAUGAAGCUGGUAUUUCCGACAAGGGUAAUUUUUAAGAACCUCCCCUGAGAUUUGACGUAUUGACACUUAGAUAGAAAGUAUAAUUGUAAUUACAGAGAUCUCCCCUACCGUCUGUACUCAGUUUCCUUGACUGUUAGUUGACUGGUGAUAUGUCAAAAAUACCCUUGAUUCGAGAAAAGACCUCAACACCCUUAGCGCUAACUAUUAAAUUAAUUAUUA
rnacentral:lncRNA from 1 species